rnacentral:rRNA from 1 species
CGAACGCUGGCGGCGUGCUUAACACAUGCAAGUCGAACGGAAAGGCCCUGCUUUUGUGGGGUGCUCGAGUGGCGAACGGGUGAGUAACACGUGAGUAACCUGCCCUUGACUUUGGGAUAACUUCAGGAAACUGGGGCUAAUACCGGAUAGGAGCUCCUGCUGCAUGGUGGGGGUUGGAAAGUUUCGGCGGUUGGGGAUGGACUCGCGGCUUAUCAGCUUGUUGGUGGGGUAGUGGCUUACCAAGGCUUUGACGGGUAGCCGGCCUGAGAGGGUGACCGGCCACAUUGGGACUGAGAUACGGCCCAGACUCCUACGGGAGGCAGCAGUGGGGAAUAUUGCACAAUGGGCGGAAGCCUGAUGCAGCAACGCCGCGUGCGGGAUGACGGCCUUCGGGUUGUAAACCGCUUUCGCCUGUGACGAAGCGUGAGUGACGGUAAUGGGUAAAGAAGCACCGGCUAACUACGUGCCAGCAGCCGCGGUGAUACGUAGGGUGCGAGCGUUGUCCGGAUUUAUUGGGCGUAAAGGGCUCGUAGGUGGUUGAUCGCGUCGGAAGUGUAAUCUUGGGGCUUAACCCUGAGCGUGCUUUCGAUACGGGUUGACUUGAGGAAGGUAGGGGAGAAUGGAAUUCCUGGUGGAGCGGUGGAAUGCGCAGAUAUCAGGAGGAACACCAGUGGCGAAGGCGGUUCUCUGGGCCUUUCCUGACGCUGAGGAGCGAAAGCGUGGGGAGCGAACAGGCUUAGAUACCCUGGUAGUCCACGCUGUAAACGGUGGGUACUAGGUGUGGGGUCCAUUCCACGGGUUCCGUGCCGUAGCUAACGCUUUAAGUACCCCGCCUGGGGAGUACGGCCGCAAGGCUAAAACUCAAAGGAAUUGACGGGGCCCCGCACAAGCGGCGGAGCAUGCGGAUUAAUUCGAUGCAACGCGUAGAACCUUACCUGGGUUUGACAUGGAUCGGGAGUGCUCAGAGAUGGGUGUGCCUCUUUUGGGGUCGGUUCACAGGUGGUGCAUGGCUGUCGUCAGCUCGUGUCGUGAGAUGUUGGGUUAAGUCCCGCAACGAGCGCAACCCUUGUUCACUGUUGCCAGCACGUUAUGGUGGGGACUCAGUGGAGACCGCCGGGGUCAACUCGGAGGAAGGUGGGGAUGACGUCAAGUCAUCAUGCCCCUUAUGUCCAGGGCUUCACGCAUGCUACAAUGGCUGGUACAGAGAGUGGCGAGCCUGUGAGGGUGAGCGAAUCUCGGAAAGCCGGUCUCAGUUCGGAUUGGGGUCUGCAACUCGACCUCAUGAAGUCGGAGUCGCUAGUAAUCGCAGAUCAGCAACGCUGCGGUGAAUACGUUCCCGGGGCUUGUACACACCGCCCGUCAAGUCAUGAAAGUUGGUAACACCCGAAGCCGGUGGCCUAACCGUUGUGGGGGAGCCGUCGAAGGUGGG